rnacentral:rRNA from 1 species
AUUGAACGCUGGCGGCAGGCCUAACACAUGCAAGUCGAGCGAGCGGCGGACGGGUGAGUAAUGUCUGGGAAACUGCCCGAUGGAGGGGGGUAACUACUGGAAACGGUAGCUAAUAACGCAUACCAUCAGAUGUGCCCAGAUGGGAUUAGCUAGUGGGGGGGGUAGCGGCUCACCUAGGCGACGAUCCCUAGCUGGUCUGGGAGGAUGACCAGCCAAACUGGAACUGAGACACGGUCCAGACGCCUCCGGGAGGCAGCAGGGGGGAAUAUUGCACAAUGGGCGCAAGCCUGAUGCAGCCAUGCCGCGUGUGUGAAGAAGGCCUUAGGGUUGUAAAGCACUUUCAGCGGGGAGGCGUUACCCGCAGAAGAAGCACCGGCUAACUCCGUGCCAGCCGCCGCGGUAAUUC